rnacentral:rRNA from 1 species
GAUGAACGCUAGCGGCAGGCCUAACACAUGCAAGUCGAGGGGUAGAGGAAGCUUGCUUCCUUGAGACCGGCGCACGGGUGCGUAACGCGUAUGCAAUCUACCUUUUACAGAGGGAUAGCCCAGAGAAAUUUGGAUUAAUACCUCAUAGUAUAUAUCAUUCGCCUGUUUGAUAUAUUAAAGUUACAACGGUAAAAGAUGAGCAUGCGUCCCAUUAGUUAGUUGGUAAGGUAACGGCUUACCAAGACGAUGAUGGGUAGGGGUCCUGAGAGGGAGAUCCCCCACACUGGUACUGAGACACGGACCAGACUCCUACGGGAGGCAGCAGUGAGGAAUAUUGGUCAAUGGACGCAAGUCUGAACCAGCCAUGCCGCGUGCAGGAAGACGGUCCUAUGGAUUGUAAACUGCUUUUGUACGGGAAGAAACACUCCUACGUGUAGGAGCCUGACGGUACCGUAAGAAUAAGGAUCGGCUAACUCCGUGCCAGCCGCCGCCGUAAGAC